ACGUACUGGCAUUGUUGGUUUCUCCCUUCUGACGAACCAUGAUGUCAUUUAUUUGGUGUUGUGGGGAAUCAGGACUGUUACUUUGAAAAAAUUAGAGUGUUUAAAGCAGGCUCACGCUUGAAUACAUUAGCAUGGAAUAAUGAAAUAGGACGUUUGAUUCUAUUUUGUUGGUUUCUAGGAUCGACGUAAUGAUUAAUAGGGAUAGUUGGGGGCAUUAGUAUUCAAUUGUCAGAGGUGAAAUUCUUGGAUUUAUUGAAGACUAACUACUGCGAAAGCAUUUGCCAAGGAUGUUUUCAUUAAUCAUUAACGAAAGUUAGGGGAUCGAAGACGAUCACAUACCGUCGUAGUCUUAACCAUAAACUAUGCCGACUAGGGAUCGGAUGAUGUUAAUUUUUUAAUGACUCAUUCGGCGCCUUACG
rnacentral:rRNA from 1 species